rnacentral:lncRNA from 1 species
AAAUAUGCAUCAAACGAAUAUUAAACCCGAGUCCUUCCCCUUUUAUUUUCUCAGGGAAAUAAGAAUUUAUUAGUAUCUAUUUGGAAACACAUUCCCACUGUAAAAAAAUCAAAGGGAAAGAGGUGGACCUUAACUCUUACCAAUUUGCAAUUUCUCUGGGCUAUUAAGCAGUGUCUCUAUACUUGCUAAUUUUAUCUAACUUAGUUCAACGAUAAAGAAAAAGGUUAAAAUAAGCACAAAACUGGAUUUUUAAGACUAAAUUAAGCCCCUUUCUUUCCUUUAACUUCUCAAGUUCCUAUCUUUACAGAUUACAAAGAACCUGGAUCCUUCACUUUUCAUACACUUGCACAUUUAUUUUAUCUCUUUUCACCACUCAAUUAAAUAUUUGUUUUGGUGGAUCGAACAAUUGAACAGCUUGAAACUCCAAACCAAGAUUCCAAGCUUUAUCAAAAACAUGUACACAUAAUUUAGUUUUUUUUUUCCCCCAAGACUUUUAGAAACAGAAAGAUGCAAAAGCUCCAACCUUCCAAUCGGUACUACAAAACCGAAAUACCCCCAUCAACUGAAAUUGGAAAAAAUAAGAAAAAUAAAUGCAAACUACCCAUGUUUUUUUUUUUUUCAAAAAUAGACAGUAAAUAACAAAAUUAGAAACCAAACAAAUACUCGUGUAUAUACAGUCAUACAGAAAUCAGAAAUUCAGUGAAUAUGAACAUAUCUUCAAACUAGUAAAUAAACUUUUGGAAAAUAGCAGAGCUCCUUACGAGUUUGUGGAUGGUCGGGGGUGCGUGGUGGGGGCGGUAUUAGGGAUAAGGGGGUUACAGGGUGGGUUAGGCGCUCCUUUAGGAUUGUGUGUGAAUGUGGGUUCUAGGGGUGGUUGGGGUAACUGAGGUGGUGGGGUUAGGUAAUGCGUGGAAAUAAACCGGUUAACUUUUCUAUUUUCGAUCUACAGCCUGCAGUGUGCGGUCCGGUUCCCUAUUUUGGUUUUUUAUUUUCUUAAUUUUAC